CCCGGACCUUGCAGCCCGCGGGCGCGUCCUUGGCCCUCUUCCAGGGGCGCCUCGAUUUUCCAAACUCGGGAAGGCCGGCUGUCUUUCGGCUACUGAUAAGGACGCGAGCGCGUGGUAAAAGAAUUUCACAAUGCCCGGAAAGAAAUAGCCGGACCCAAGAAAGAAACUAAUAAUAGCCGUCUGCUCGUGUAGCGGUCUUAAGAACAAUAAUAACGACAACCACCAUAACAGCCACCAUUUAUUGUGCGCUUACUCUGUGCUAGGCACUGUGUUAAGCGCUUUGCAGGCAACAACCUUCGGAGCCCGGAGCGGUGUGCAUCAGUAUUCUCCUUUGACAGAUGAGGUCACAAGACUGAACUGCUGAUUUUUGGCCAAGCAGAUGGCUGCCUCAUAAGGACUACAUUUCCCAGCCUCCCUUGCAGCUUGAUGUGGCCAUGAGUCUAAGUUCUCACCAAUGGACUGUGAGCAGAAAUGAUUGUACCACUUCUGAGCUGUGCCCUCAGCAGAGAUGUGCAUGAGCCUUCCCUUGACUAGGAGAUAAUAAAAAUUGAAGCAGUCUCUCUGGACCUGGAGAGGGAGGCCACAUUUGGAGGAUGGCAGAGCCCUCCUGUGAGUCCUAGAUGGCUCUUUUCUGAACUGUAAUAUGAUAUGAAAGAGACAUAAAUUGCUAUUUCACUUACACUUGUGUAUUUGGAGUCUUUGUUACAGCAACUUUUCCCGUACUCUAUAAAAUACAAGGUUCCUGGCUUCCCCGGGCC